rnacentral:misc_RNA from 1 species
CUCUUAUCUAUCUAUCUAUCUUUUUGGUGGGUGCGAUCUUGUUUUGUCUCAAUUAUUUGUUGUUGCUUUGUAUUUGUUUGUGUCAUGGAAGGAUAUCUUCAUCAGCAUCAUCACAUCAGUGUUAACGUUGAUACUGAUAGGUUUCCUCAAUGGAGUAUCCAAGAAACGAAGGAAUUCUUGAUGAUCCGAGCAGGACUGGAUCAAACUUUCAUGGAGACCAAAAGAAACAAGCUUCUUUGGGAAGUGGUAGCUAACAAAAUGAAGGAAAAGGGUUUUCAUCGCAGCGCAGAGCAGUGCAAGUGCAAGUGGAAAAACCUCGU